AUCUGGGUGGGGCUGAUAAAAUGGAUAUGGGUAUCAAUACCGCCUGCGGUAAGGAUAAGUCCCUCACCUGCUAUCGCCUCGGUAGAAGCUCCGAAAACCAGCGAUGGUGUCACUCCGUCCAUAAUAUCGGGAUUUCCCGCCUUGCCUAUGCCGCAUAUCUUUCCGUCCUUUAUGCCGAUAUCGGCUUUGUAGAUGCCCGUGUAAUCAAUGACCACAACGCUUGUGAUAACGGUAUCGGGGCAUUCGCUGUCGGGUACGGAGCAGGACUGUCCCAUGCCGUCACG
rnacentral:sRNA from 1 species